GCCUGGGUAGCUCAGUUGGUUAGAGCAUGGUGCUCAUAAUGGCAAGGUUGCAGGUUUGAUCCCUGUAUGGGACA